CCUACGGGAGGCAGCAGUGGGGAAUAUUGCACAAUGGGGGGAACCCUGAUGCAGCGACGCCGCGUGAGUGAAGAAGUAUUUCGGUAUGUAAAGCUCUAUCAGCAGGGACGAAGAUGACGGUACCUGCCUAAGAAGCCCCGGCUAACUACGUGCCAGCAGCCGCGGUAAUACGAAGGGUGCGAGCGUUAUCCGGAUUUACUGGGUGUAAAGGGAGUGUAGGCGGCAAGGCAAGUCAGCGGUGAAAUCCCGGGGCCCAACCCCGGGACUGCUAUUGUGACUGUCAUGCUAGAGUGCUGGAGAGGUUAGCGGAAUACCCAGUGUAGAGGUGAAAUGCGUAGAUAUUAGGAGGAACACCAGUGGCGAAGGCGGCUAACUGGACAGUAACUGACGCUGAGGCUCGAAAGCGUGGGGAGCAAACAGGAUUAGAUACCCUUGUAGUC
rnacentral:rRNA from 1 species